GACGAAGGGGGCUAGCGUUGUUCGGAAUUACUGGGCGUAAAGCGUGCGUAGGCGGUUCGCUGUGUCCGAUGUGAAAGCCCCGGGCUUAACCUGGGAAUGGCAUUGGAAACUGGCGGGCUUGAGUGCGGCAGAGGGGGGUGGAAUUCCGCGUGUAGCAGUGAAAUGCGUAGAGAUGCGGAGGAACACCGAUGGCGAAGGCAGCCCCCUGGGUCGACACUGACGCUCAGGCACGAAAGCGUGGGGAGCAAACAGG
rnacentral:rRNA from 1 species